rnacentral:rRNA from 1 species
CCUACGGGAGGCAGCAGUAGGGAAUCUUCCACAAUGGACGAAAGUCUGAUGGAGCAACGCCGCGUGAGUGAAGAAGGGUUUCGGCUCGUAAAGCUCUGUUGGUAGGGAAGAAAGAUUGAGUUGGUAACUUGCCUUUAUUUGACGGUAAUUACUUAGAAAGUCACGGCUAACUACGUUCCAGCAGCCGCGGUAAUACGUAGGUGGCAAGCGUUGUCCGGAUUUAUUGGGCGUAAAGCGAGUGCAGGCGGUUUAAUAAGUCUGAUGUGAAAGCCUUCGGCUCAACCGGGGAAUGGCAUCAGAAACUGUUGAACUUGAGUGCAGAAGAGAAGAGUGGAAUUCCAUGUGUAGCGGUGGAAUGCGUAGAGAUAUGGAAGAACACCAGUGGCGAAGGCGGCUCUUUGGUCUGCAACUGACGCUGAGGCUCGAAAGCAUGGGUAGCGAACAGGAUUAGAUACCCUUGUAGUC